rnacentral:rRNA from 1 species
AGUUAAGUGACUAAGCGUACACGGUGGAUGCCUAGGCAAUCAGAGGCGAAGAAGGACGUGCUAAUCUGCGAAAAGCUUGGAUGAGUUGAUAAGAAGCGUUUAAUCCAAGAUAUCCGAAUGGGGAAACCCGAUGGAUGAAGAAUCCAUCAUUUCAUUAUGAAUCCAUAGUAAUGAAAGGCAAACCGGGAGAACUGAAACAUCUAAGUACCCCGAGGAAAAGAAAUCAACCGAGAUUUUGUAAGUAGCGGCGAGCGAAAGCGAAAGAGCCAGUGAGUGAUAGCAGCAAAGACAGAAGAAUUGGCUGGGAAGCCAAGCGACACAGGGUGAUAGCCCCGUAUUCGAAGUUUUUGUUGUGGUACUAAGCUUGCAACAAGUAGGGCGGGACACGAGAAAUCCUGUUUGAAGAUGGGGGGACCAUCCUCCAAGGCUAAAUACUCCUGAUUGACCGAUAGUGAACCAGUACUGUGAAGGAAAGGCGAAAAGAACCCCAGUGAGGGGAGUGAAAUAGAACCUGAAACCGUGUACGUACAAGCAGUGGGAGCCCUUUGGGGUGACUGCGUACCUUUUGUAUAAUGGGUCAGCGACUUAUAUUUUGUAGCGAGGUUAACUGAAUAAGGGAGCCGAAGGGAAACCGAGUCUUAACUGGGCGGAUAGUUGCAAGGUAUAGACCCGAAACCCGGUGAUCUAGCCAUGGGCAGGUUGAAGGUUGGGUAACACUAACUGGAGGACCGAACCGACUAAUGUUGAAAAAUUAGCGGAUGACUUGUGGCUGGGGGUGAAAGGCCAAUCAAACCGGGAGAUAGCUGGUUCUCCCCGAAAUCUAUUUAGGUAGAGCCUUAUGUGAAUACCUUCGGGGGUAGAGCACUGUUUCGGCUAGGGGUCCAUCCCGGAUUACCAACCCGAUGCAAACUGCGAAUACCGAAGAGUAAUGCAUAGGAGACACACGGUGGGUGCUAACGUCCAUCGUGGAGAGGGAAACAACCCAGACCGCCAGCUAAGGUCCCAAAGUCUAUAUUAAGUGGGAAACGAAGUGGGAAGGCUUAGACAGCUAGGAUGUUGGCUUAGAAGCAGCCAUCAUUUAAAGAAAGCGUAAUAGCUCACUAGUCGAGUCGGCCUGCGCGGAAGAUGUAACGGGGCUAAAAUAUAGCACCGAAGCUGCGGCAUCAGGCGUAUCACUAAUACGCCUUACGAUUAACAACAUCGAAUGAAGUGAAACGGAAUGAGAUGUUGGUCAAGCAACCCGAACGUUGAGUCGGAAAGUAAUCGAAGAGAGGAUUAUUAGUGAUACGUCUGUUGGGUAGGGGAGCGUUGUGUAAGCGGAUGAAGGUGAAUCGAGAGGUUUGCUGGACGUAUCACAAGUGCGAAUGCUGACAUAAGUAACGAUAAAACGAGUGAAAAACUCGUUCGCCGGAAGACCAAGGGUUCCUGUCCAACGUUAAUCGGGGCAGGGUGAGUCGGCCCCUAAGGCGAGGCUGAAAAGCGUAGUCGAUGGGAAACGGGUUAAUAUUCCCGUACUUG